rnacentral:rRNA from 1 species
CCUACGGGAGGCUGCAGUGAGGAAUAUUGGUCAAUGGGCGAGAGCCUGAACCAGCCAAGUCGCGUGAGGGAGUACUGCCCUAUGGGUUGUAAACCUCUUUUGUCGGGGAGCAAAAGCCGGACGUGUCCGGCUGUGAGAGUACCCGAAGAAAAAGCAUCGGCUAACUCCGUGCCAGCAGCCGCGGUAAUACGGAGGAUGCGAGCGUUAUCCGGAUUUAUUGGGGUUAAAGGGUGCGCAGGCGGAUUUUUAAGUCAGCGGUCAAAUCGUUGGGCUAAACCCCAUCCAGCCGUUGAAACUGGGAGUCUAGAGUAUACGAGAGGUAUGCGGAAUGCGUGGUGUAGCGGUGAAAUGCAUAGAUAUCACGCAGAACCCCGAUUGCGAAGGCAGCAUACCGGUGCACAACUGACGCUGAGGCACGAAAGCGUGGGUAUCGAACAGGAUUAGAUACCCCGGUAGUC